UUAGUGAGUGGACAGUAUAGUUCGAAAUAUAAGGUUUUUUGUAUUGAAUGGCGCGGGAACUUAAUUCUAAGCAAAAGAAAUGGUAUAUAAAAUAUACUUUUCAGUGUGUUGUAAUAGAAUGCAAUUGUGCGUUUAUCUGGUCUGUAUCAACCAAUUAGGUAGAUAAGUUGGUAAUGUUAAUUAAUAACCACGAAAAUAUUAAGAGGAUCAAUAUUAAGUGGAACGAACGUUAGCGAAAGGGCAAUCAUCUACAAGAGGAGUCAAUAAGUAUCGUCUAAUCUAUUGUUAUUCAUUUAACAUAAUUGAUUUAUAUGUUUAUUAAUUAGCGAAGACGCUCCACUAUUAAUUAUAUAUUGUAUCAAAAAUAAAUUAAAUUAGGUACACAAAUUAAUGCAUUUUAUUAUUUAAUUAAGUGAAAUAAAAUAAAAUUUUGUCAAGUUAAUUUUACAGCGGUCGCCAAACACCACAAGAGCGAUUAAUUAAAGAAGUGUCUUAAAUAUUUUCAUUACUACAUACUACAGUUCAUUAUAAUUUCAACUUAUAUUGCUCAUUUAAGAAAAUAAAUUAAUUUAGUACUACUCUACAGAUUAUAUAAUAUCAAAUAAAUGAUAUAUUUUUAAAAAUUAUGCUUAACAUUAUUAGCUUUAAAUGGCUGCACUAAUAAUUUAAGAAGAAUAAAAAGGAUCUAUAAUUUAUAAAAAUAUAUAAAGUUAAAAAAAAACGAUAGCACAGUUGCGUUGCGGCACAGUAUGGACAUGGCAUAGUUGGUACAAGUAUAGAUGAUAUCUGACAGUAAUUAAAAUCACUAUCAUAUUCGUGUCAAAAGAUCGCCAAUUUUUCGAAGUGGAAAAUGCAGAACGAACAAGUUUCGAACUGCCAGCGAGAGAUAUUUGUCAGCAUGUCCGUCGUGUUGUCCACUAAACCUAAAAAACGCACUGCCUUCGUUCAGAAGACGACACGCGUUUCACGAAGGUACAAAGAAUCUAUUUCAGUUCGCCAAAGACAACGAUCGUUUAGUUUCAAAAUUAUGUCGUAUGAGCAAUGUUUGCACAACACCGAAGUUAUCAAUGCAGUUAAGAUAUCUCCAGCUGUUGUGAUAACAAUAGUCCGGAUGAUGAACUUAAGAUAGUACUCGUAUUCCGCGUCCCGGAUGGACCUUGUUGCCAAAAACCGUUGGCGAAAAACGAGAGGCCUUAUUUUUUAUUGGUAUUAUCUCAGACAAUUCGAAAAGCGAUCGUUAAGAACUAAUUUCAUUUUUUAAAAAUUAUUAUUUAUUUUGUUUAUUCUAUUUAUUUGUUUUCAGUGGCAUUGUUAUGUAUAUCAUUUUUGUUGUUAUAUGUAAAUAUAACAAUGAAAACAAUG